rnacentral:rRNA from 1 species
AACAGGAUUAGAUACCCUGGUAGUCCACGCCCUAAACGAUGUCUACUAGUUGUCGGGUCUUAAUUGACUUGGUAACGCAGCUAACGCGUGAAGUAGACCGCCUGGGGAGUACGGUCGCAAGAUUAAAACUCAAAGGAAUUGACGGGGACCCGCACAAGCGGUGGAUGAUGUGGAUUAAUUCGAUGCAACGCGAAAAACCUUACCUACCCUUGACAUGGCAGGAAUCCCGGAGAGAUUUGGGAGUGCUCGAAAGAGAACCUGCACACAGGUGCUGCAUGGCUGUCGUCAGCUCGUGUCGUGAGAUGUUGGGUUAAGUCCCGCAACGAGCGCAACCCUUGUCAUUAGUUGCUACGAAAGAGCACUCUAAUGAGACUGCCGGUGACAAACCGGAGGAAGGUGGGGAUGACGUCAAGUCCUCAUGGCCCUUAUGGGUAGGGCUUCACACGUCAUACAAUGGUACAUACAGAGGGCCGCCAACCCGCGAGGGGGAGCUAAUCCCAGAAAGUGUAUCGUAGUCCGGAUCGUAGUCUGCAACUCGACUGCAUGAAGUUGGAAUCGCUAGUAAUCGCGGAUCAGCAUGUCGCGGUGAAUACGUUCCCGGGUCUUGUACACACCGCCCGUCACACCAUGGGAGCGGGUUUUACCAGAAGUAGGUAGCUUAACCGCAAGGAGGGCGCUUACCACGGUAGGAUUCGUGACUGGGGUGAAGUCGUAACAAGGUAACC